rnacentral:rRNA from 1 species
GAUGAACGCUGGCGGCGUGCCUAAUACAUGCAAGUCGAGCGAACGGACGAGAAGCUUGCUUCUCUGAUGUUAGCGGCGGACGGGUGAGUAACACGUGGAUAACCUACCUAUAAGACUGGGAUAACUUCGGGAAACCGGAGCUAAUACCGGAUAAUAUUUUGAACCGCAUGGUUCAAAAGUAAAAGACGGUCUUGCUGUCACUUAUAGAUGGAUCCGCGCUGCAUUAGCUAGUUGGUAAGGUAACGGCUUACCAAGGCAACGAUGCAUAGCCGACCUGAGAGGGUGAUCGGCCACACUAGAACUGAGACACGGUCCAGACUCCUACGGGAGGCAGCAGUAGGGAAUCUUCCGCAAUGGGCGAAAGCCUGACGGAGCAACGCCGCGUGAGUGAUGAAGGUCUUCGGAUCGUAAAACUCUGUUAUUAGGGAAGAACAUAUGUGUAAGUAACUGUGCACAUCUUGACGGUACCUAAUCAGAAAGCCACGGCUAACUACGUG